rnacentral:lncRNA from 1 species
AAUUCUAAUCCCAAAGACCCAAACCCUUCGAUGCCUCUCUCUCUCUUUCUUUGCUGAUAGUUCAAUUUCAAAGAGAAUUUCCAUAGUCGUCUCCUCCGUUAGCCCCUGCCGAGAAGGUCGUCUUUCACAAAGGGCUUCAUCUAAAACUCCAGGUGAUCAAUAAGCAACAAUUCUGAUUUUCCAAUUUUCAGUAUUUAUUUCUCUUUUGCAUAAAGUAUUAAUCUUUGUUAUUUUUCAGUUACUAAAGUCUGAGAAAGGUAGGUUUUUCUAAAUAUAUGUGCUUUCUUCUCUUUGUUGUAGUUCAACUUCACAGAACAGCUUCAUAGUCGUCUCCUCCAUUAGCCAUAAGCCACUGCCUCUUCUCGUUGGGUCGCCUCUCUCGUCGUCAGCCCAUCAACUGUUACUAUCAGGUUUCUCUUUGAUUUCUAAUCUUUCUUUUAUCUUUCAGUUACAAAUCCUAAGAAGGGCAGGUUUUUCAAUUUUAUAAAUGUAUGUGCUUUCUUAUCUCUGAAAGUAGUAUGGAAUUAGUUGGCCUUGCCAUUGAAAAUACUGGACAUUACAUCUUCUUUGAGAUAACUUAAAAAAUCUAAUAUGAUUGCUUCCACCCAUAUAUUCUUGUUAAUUUUUUCUUAUUCUUCAAAAUUGAUAUAUCAUACCAGAAGCUUAUAAAUCAAAUUGCACAUGAAACCAUAAAGUAAGUCAAAUCAAAAUCUCAGAAUAGGACUGAAGUUCCAAAAUCUCAUUGUAUUCUUUUACUUUUAAUUCUUGUUUGCCAUGCUAGUUUAAAUUUAAGGUUAAACAUAUAUAAAAUUAUUCUUCUAAUUCUAAUUCUAAUUUGGUAAUCUAGUUUGUGUUACAACGAAGAGAUUUUACCCUCCAGUAUCUUCCAAGUUGCCACAAUCAAGUUCAUCCUCUCUAAUUGCUACUCCCGUGUAAGAAAAUUUGAACCAAUUAGAAGAACAAACUCAAUCCUCUAAAAAACAAAGACAAGGAAUAGAUCUCGAUUCUUUACCGACUGAUCCAAAGGAGAGAAUACACAUUAGAGACUAUCAUCCAAAUGAGCGUCAUGAGAUUAGAAGAGAAUAUCUCCGAAGAGGUCCUUACCAACCCCGAUAUCAUAAGUUUCCUCAAAGAGAUUUUUCGGGCUUAAAGCGCCGUUUCAAUCAUAAAUGGUUUGAUGAAUAUCGUAAUUGGUUGGAGUACAGUGUGAUAGAAGAUGCAGCUUAUUGUUUGUGUUGUUACUUAUUUCAAGAUGAAGACAUUCAUCAAGGUGGA